UACAGAGGGGGCAAGCGUUGUUCGGAAUUACUGGGCGUAAAGGGCGCGUAGGCGGCCUUCUAAGUCGAACGUGAAAUCCCCGGGCUCAACCCGGGAACUGCGUCCGAUACUGGAAGGCUUGAAUCCGGGAGAGGGAUGCGGAAUUCCAGGUGUAGCGGUGAAAUGCGUAGAUAUCUGGAGGAACACCGGUGGCGAAGGCGGCAUCCUGGACCGGCAUUGACGCUGAGGCGCGAAAGCUAGGGGAGCAAAGCGGGG
rnacentral:rRNA from 1 species